GGCCCUAUAGCCCCGAUCUCAUCUCCCAAUUUCGUCCAGAGCCACCGCGACACCGUUUUCCCCUUUCUCUGUCUCUGGCGAACGCAAAGCUCUGCGCUCCAUGGCCGGCUUGCUCUGGUAAGUCACUGGCCAAUCCAUGCAUUGUUUUCAUGCCUCUGCAUGCUUGCGAAGCUCCCAGUGGCGCUCGAUUGCUCAAUCCGGCCCUGAUUAAGCGGGAACGCGUGCCCGUGGUCACGGUUUUCGCCGUGCAUGUGGACAGGGCGUUCUCAGUGCGUUCGUGUCAAAUUGAUGCGUGUUCCGAGGCCAUCUUAGAUCGGUGAAGCCUCCCCGUUAGUUAUCCCGAGCAGUCAUCGCCGGCCAUGGCCGGUACGGACCACGUUAGGGAUGAUCUGCGUGUGCGCCGUGGUUAGUGGUAUUCGUGGGGAAGAGAUAGAAGAUCGAGGGCAUCUCUGCAAAUUGCAUGUGACACAGAGGAACAGUAAACAAACCUACUUCGAUUUAGCUGAUAAACCGAGGGCCUCUGUGCAAAGUUGCCAGAGCACGCGGGCACGCGACCCUGUUUCCUGUGUAGUUGGGCUGUCCUAGGCUGAAACCGGCCCAUCACUGUUUAAACUUUUUCUUUUUCUUUUUCAGUAGAGCUUUGGAAAUCUGUUUUAAAUUGUAGAAAAAUCCUAAAAUUGUCAAACCAAUUUUCCUAGACUUCCUAUUUUCUAUAGUAUUUAAUAAAAAUAGUUCCAUUAUUUUUAGAUCAACUAGGGAAUUUUAUAGUAUUUAAAAUAACUUAAACUAUUGGUUCUGGAUUUUUAGAAAAUAAAUGGUAAUUCCAAAAAUGCCCAAACUUUUUAUAUGAGCUCUACGCAUUAGUUAGAAGCCAUGGGUAGAAUUUGGUUUGAUUUGGACCUUGUUUGAUACUUAGAACCCAAAACCCCCACCCCUGCCCUUUGAACUCCUUUACUGACUCCGGAAACCCUAAGUUCUCGGAGUUCCGUGAAGGAAAGUUGUAUUCAAGACUUUAGAUAAUAAAUCCUUAUUAUCUUUACACUCUCAUGAGCAUUACAUGGCAUUCAUUCUUAUAUAUACCUAUAUGGUUAUAUUUAGAAAACGAAGAAGAGAUCGAAGUAACCGAAGAGAAGACACCACCACCUUCGAAAUCUCAGGCCGGAAAUUGUUUCUACUUUGAUAUCUGCGGGUUCGAGCCUGACUCACCUACUAACGAAGGCAAGCCCCGGUGCAUUUGCCACCUUCCUUGAUGUUUUUAAAAUCUUUCUCACUUGCUUGCUGCAUUAGGUGAUACGAGUUGAAUGCUUAAACAGUUCCUGCAUUACCUUCCUUGAACUUGAUUACCCUCCUUGAAACCCUGUUUUUACAAAAAGGUUUUACUAUGCUUAGUAUUGCUCUAGAAAAACAAAAGGAUUUGUUUUACAAAAGAUGAUUGGCAAAGUGGGAGGGUUGUUUUCAAAAAUAAAACAUGAUGGUGGAUCCAUCAUGGCCGUGAUGGGUUCAACAUCGGAAAAGAUGUACCUUUGCCAGGUACCAAGUUUUUGGGUUGAAAUGAUUAAGCUGAGACCGGGCGGGUGACUUGCACGAGAAAGGAGUCUCGGUGUAGUGUCUUCGUCUGAGUCGAUUAAGGACCGUGUCGAUGUAGGCUUGAUGAUCGAGGACCCUUUAACUGGUCACAUGCCUCGUCAUGGGUAAGCCUUGCCUCGAGCAGACUAAGGCCAGAAUAAGAUAACACGGAAUGGGCGUGGAGCGGUGGCGAGAGUAGUGUGUACCCUUCGUGGCAAGAGGCUAGACGGUGGUGUAUCUAUGCUCUCGGUUCGCGUGAACCUGAUCUGGUCUUAAGAACCCCGGUGGCGGGUUGACAUAUGCAAGGGUUAAGUGCUACAUAUGUCGUGUGAUUGGAGAUCCUCAGCUGAGUAUAAUCGAUUCGGAUCGCCAUACCUUCGCGGUUAUGAAGACUUGGUCACUUACCUAUACGUAGAACUCCACUAAAGAUGAAGGGAUUUGUUAAGAAACUGGCUAGUGCAGGACAAGUGUUUGAAACUAGAGUAGAAAGAACUCUAGAUGCAGGUAAUUUUACUAACUUGACAAUAAAACUGGAUUUUUAAGGAUCCAGUGUAGUAAGCAUUUAUGCAAAACAGAGUCUUUGAUCAUUGAGAAACCUUACCUUGACUCCCUGAUAACCAGCAUACCCUUGAGAGUCUUUUCUUUAGUCGGGUAAGACUUGCUGAGUAAUUCCAUACUCAGGGUUUAUUCCCCCGUUGUUUUUAGGUGGGGAAGCAACAAACUUUUGUUGCUUUUGCUCCAAGGUGGUUCCAAAUGAAGAAAAACAAGAGUGAAUCUGCGGGAGGACAUGGUCCUCCAUAAAACUUUUAUGUAAAAACUAUCAGGAGGAGUUUUUGCCUCCCUUGGUAUUGUAAUAAU
rnacentral:lncRNA from 1 species